GACGUAGGGCGCGAGCGUUGUCCGGAUUUAUUGGGCGUAAAGAGCUCGUAGGCGGUGUGUCGCGUCGGCCGUGAAAACCUGGGGCUUAACUCUGGGCUUGCGGUCGAUACGGGCAUCACUGGAGUUCGGCAGGGGAGACUGGAAUUCCUGGUGUAGCGGUGAAAUGCGCAGAUAUCAGGAGGAACACCGGUGGCGAAGGCGGGUCUCUGGGCCGAUACUGACGCUGAGGAGCGAAAGCCAGGGGAGCAAACGGG
rnacentral:rRNA from 1 species